rnacentral:rRNA from 1 species
UGGGGAAUAUUGCACAAUGGGCGCAAGCCUGAUGCAGCGACGCCGCGUGAGGGAUGACGGCCUUCGGGUUGUAAACCUCUUUCAGCAGGGAAGAAGCGCAAGUGACGGUACCUGCAGAAGAAGCGCCGGCUAACUACGUGCCAGCAGCCGCGGUAAGACGUAGGGUGCAAGCGUUGUCCGGAUUUACUGGGCGUAAAGCGCGCGUAGGCGGUCUGUUAAGUGAGAAGUGAAAUCUCCAGGGCUCAACCCGGAAACUGCUUUUCAUACUGGCAGACUUGAGGAAUGCAGAGGCAACUAGAAUUCCUGGUGUAGCGGUUACAUGCAUUGAUAUCAGGAGGAAUACCCAUGGCGAAGGCAGGUUGCUGGGCAUUAUCUGACGCUGAGGCGCGAAAGCGUGGGUAGCAAACA